rnacentral:rRNA from 1 species
GACAGAGGGUGCAAACGUUGUUCGGAAUUACUGGGCGUAAAGCGCAUGUAGGCGGCCAAGCAGGUCGGAUGUGAAAUCCCUCGGCUCAACCAAGGAAGUGCAUUCGAAACCGCAUGGCUCGAGUCCCGGAGAGGAAGGUGGAAUUCUCGGUGUAGAGGUGAAAUUCGUAGAUAUCGAGAGGAACACCGGUGGCGAAAGCGGCGCGCUGGAUCCCUACUGACGCUGAGGCACGAAAGCCAGGGGAGCAAACGGG